AUUGAACGCUGGCGGAAUGCUUUACACAUGCAAGUCGAACGGCAGCACGGACUUCGGUCUGGUGGCGAGUGGCGAACGGGUGAGUAAUGUAUCGGAACGUGCCCAGUCGUGGGGGAUAACGUAGUGAAAAUUACGCUAAUACCGCAUACGAUCUAUGGAUGAAAGCGGGGGAUCGCAAGACCUCGCGCGAUUGGAGCGGCCGAUAUCAGAUUAGGUAGUUGGUGGGGUAAAGGCCCACCAAGCCAACGAUCUGUAGCUGGUCUGAGAGGACGAACAGCCACACGGGAACUGAGACGCGGUCCAGGCUCCUAGGGGAGGCAGCAGUGGGGAAUUUUGGACAAUGGGCGAAAGCCUGAUUCAGCCAUUCCGCGUGCAGGAUGAAGGCCCUCGGGUUGUAAACUGCUUUUGUACAGAACGAAAAGGUUUCUACUAAUACUAGGAGCUCAUGACGGUACUGUAAGAAUAAGCACCGGCUAACUACGUGCCAGCCGCCGCCGUAA
rnacentral:rRNA from 1 species